ensembl:lncRNA novel transcript
GGCCCGGGGAGAACUCUCACUGAGGACAACUGGACAGCGCCAGCACACUGACCCAGCGACUGGGGACACAAAGAAACAGAUUAUGGUUGACACUGUGGGGACCUGAAACCAAGGAGCAUGAAACCACUGACAAACGGGGAACUACUGUACACUUAAAAUGCCUAGAACCAUGUGUGGAACACAACUGGCGCUCAACAAACUUUCUACUCUUCCCCAAGGUCACAGCCCUUGAGAUCAGGAAGCACCUUAGUGCAAUGGCAGAGCACUGUUCCGGGAGCAGAUGGCUUGGUUCCUGUCUGGUUUCACCACUCACUGACUGUGAGAGCUACAGUUAGCCACACCAAGCUCUACCCAGUCCCAAGACUGGGGCUCUGACACCUGCCUUUCUUGAGAGCCUACCUGCUGAGAUUUCUAAAUGCAGUCUCCUCCUACACCCAAAGACUCUCAUGAUGUCCUACUCAGACCACCAGCAGUUUCUGCACUCUGCCUUCUGGGCUGGACUUCCUUGUGACACCUGUACCCAUACUCCAGAUAUUAUCCCACCUUGGUCUGAUUCAUAUCCUAGGCCUUUCCAGUUUGUCCCAUUAUUACCUUAAUUUCCAAAGAAAUAUUUCCUGUCACCAUUUCUUGUAUAUAGAAGGAAAAUAAUAAUAAAAUAAUACAAUAGAGAAAAAUAAUAA